ACGGAAGGCAGCAGUGAGGAAUAUUGGUCAAUGGUCGGAAGACUGAACCAGCCAAGUAGCGUGCGGGAAGACGGCCCUAUGGGUUGUAAACUGCUUUUGCGCGUGAUUAAAGUGCGGUACUAGUACCGUUUUGCAGUUAGCGCGCGAAUAAGGACCGGCUAAUUCCGUGCCAGCAGCCGCGGUAAUACGGAAGGUCCUGGUGUUAUCCGGAUUUAUUGGGUUUAAAGGGAGCGUAGGCGGUCAGUUAAGCGUGCUGUGAAAUAGCGGGGCCCAACCCCGUCCCUGCAGCGCGAACUGGUUGACUUGGGUACACGCAAGGCAGGCGGAAUUUGUGGUGUAGCGGUGAAAUGCUUAGAGAUCACGAAGAACCCCGAUUGCGAAGGCAGCUUGCCGGAGUGUCACCGACGCUGAAGCUCGAAGGUGCGGGUAUCGAACAGGAUUAGAUACCCUGGUA
rnacentral:rRNA from 1 species